rnacentral:tRNA from 1 species
UCUUUGAUGGCUCAGAUGGUAAAGAAUCUGCCUGCAAUGCAGGAGACCCAGGUUCAAUCCCUGGGUUGGGAA